CAGUAGCCGCGGUAAUACGUAGGUGGCAAGCGUUGUCCGGAAUUAUUGGGCGUAAAGGGCUCGCAGGCGGUUUCUUAAGUCUGAUGUGAAAGCCCCCGGCUCAACCGGGGAGGGUCAUUGGAAACUGGGAAACUUGAGUGCAGAAGAGGAGAGUGGAAUUCCACGUGUAGCGGUGAAAUGCGUAGAGAUGUGGAGGAACACCAGUGGUGAAGGCGACUCUCUGGUCUGUAACUGACGCUGAGGAGCGAAAGCGUGGGGAGCGAACAGGAUUAGAUACCCCUGUAGUCCCUGUCUCUUAUAC
rnacentral:rRNA from 1 species